GUUAGGACUGACGAGUCCCAAAUAGGACGAAACGCGCGUCCUGGAU
rfam:Schistosoma rodhaini strain Burundi genome assembly, scaffold: SROB_scaffold0001631